UACGUAGGGUGCAAGCGUUGUCCGGAAUUAUUGGGCGUAAAGAGCUCGUAGGUGGCUUGUCACGUCUGCUGUGAAAACUCGGGGCUCAACCCCGAGCCUGCAGUGGAUACGGGCUAGCUAGAGUGCGGUAGGGGAGACUGGAAUUCCUGGUGUAAGCGGUGAAAUGCGCAGAUAAUCAGGAGGAACAGCCGGUGGCGAAGGCGGGUCUCCUGGGACCGAAUACUGACACUGAGGAGCGAAAGCGUGGGGAGCGAACAGG
rnacentral:rRNA from 1 species